GUCGUAAUUGACAGGCGAGUUUCAGAGCGCGAAAGCAUUCGCAAGCGGUAUUCCGAUCAUCAAUGGCUACUUAUCGAUCUCGCAUUGAACGACUUCGUUGAUGCCGAGGGAACCGUAAGUACGUCGAGGUUUGCAGUAGAAGAAGACGCCGUCCGAUUGCCUUCCCGCGGUCGUACUCGAGAUCUCUUCAUUCAUUCUCCCGUGUUUGCGUAGAAAAUUUCUCCUACGUAUGUUAAUUUUCUUGCGGAGUUGGCCGUAUGAGCUGCUUGACUAUUUCCAGGUUCUUUUGAUGGAAGGACUUGCUAGCCAAGGAAAAGGAGAUGGUAUACCCUUGUACAACCUGCAAAAACGAAUUGGUUACUACAAAAACACAGAUUGUACAAGCAGGCACCAAGCUUUGCAAUUAAAUACAGAGAGGAUACAGAAGACGAUCAUAGAGUGAGCUUUUACCCAAGGGCACCUUCAGAUUUGACAAAUUUGGGAAGGCCAUCAGACAGACCUCCUGGCUGAGUUUGAACUAACUUUAACAGCUUCAAAUGGGCAAAGAGCAACAUCUGCAAUCACUUCAGCAGAUGUAGAGCCAGCAAGAUAGAUCAAUGUCUUGUACUUUGCUGCAUACUUCGGACCAAUUUAUAUCUGAAUGGUAUUUCUUAAAGAAUUCAUAGUUA